AUUGAACGCUGGCGGCAGGCUUAACACAUGCAAGUCGAACGAGUGGCGGACGGGUGAGUAAUGUCUGGGAAACUGCCUGAUGGAGGGGGAUAACUAGUGGAAACGGUAGCUAAUACCGCAUACCAUCAGAUGUGCCCAGAUGGGAUUAGCUUGUUGGUGGGGUAACGGCUAACCAAGGCGACGAUCGCUCACUGGUAUGAUAGGAUGACCAGCCCCACUGUAACUGAGACACGGUCCAGAUUCCUACGGGAGGCAGCAGUGGGGAAAAUUGCACAAUGGGCGCAAGCCUUAUGCAGCCAUGCCGCGUGUGUGAAGAAGGCCUUCGGGUUUUAAUGUACUUUCAGCGGGGAGGCGUUACCCGCAGAAGAAGCACCGGCUAACUCCGUGCCAGCAGCCGCGGUAAUUC
rnacentral:rRNA from 1 species